AUACGGAGGGUGCAAGCGUUAAUCGGAAUUACUGGGCGUAAAGCGUACGUAGGCGGUUCGUUAAGUUAGAUGUGAAAGCCCCGGGCUUAACCUGGGAACUGCAUUUAAAACUGGCGGACUAGAGUUGAGUAGAGGGGAGUGGAAUUUCAGGUGUAGCGGUGAAAUGCGUAGAGAUCUGAAGGAACACCAGUGGCGAAGGCGACUCCCUGGACUCGAACUGACGCUGAGGUACGAAAGCGUGGGUAGCAAACGGAAUUAGAAACCCCGGUAGUCC
rnacentral:rRNA from 1 species